GUGUGUGUGUGUGUGUGUGUGUGACACUAGGAGACACCUCAGGAUUUGGGGUUGCGACAGUCAAGGGGUUAAUAAAAAUCAGUGCAUGGAUGGUGAGGUGAGGUUAACAAAAAAUAUAAUAGAGAGAGCUAAGGAGUUGUUGAGGUUGUUUGGGCAUUUAGAGAGGAUGGAGCACAAUAGGAUGAGUAAGAGCAUAUAUAAAUCUGAGGUGGAAGGUGGAGGGGCAGGAUCAUACCAGGAAAGGCUAAAGAGAAAGAUGGAAAAGGAGGUUUUGAGUGUUAGGGGCUUGACUGAGUGCCUUAGACUGGAGUGGAAGCUAGUGCUUUUUACGAUUUGAUGUGCUGUAGGUGUGUGAGGAAGGUAACAUUUAUGAAGGGAUUUAGGGCAGUGUCUGCACUCUAGAGUGGAGGUGAGGAUGUUGCAGUGUGGAGGGUCACCUGAACUAUGAUGUUAAUGCAGACAUUUCAGUCUUUAUUUUCUCACCCUACCUCACCAAGUGACAGUUAAAAAAAAUAUCAGAUUUUGAUUUCCAGGCAUUGUUUUAAAAAACUUUCCUGAUUGGCUUCAAACUUUCAGAAUAGGUUUAAGCAGUUUUGAAAUUUGAAGAAUAUUUUGACUAUGUAGAUCACUCAGUCCUCACUGCAAGAAAAAAAAAAAAAAAAAGAGAACGUGCAAUUUUGUUGUUCUUGAGUAACUGUUACUCAAGAAAUUCUCAAGUACUCGCACACCAAGCCAUAAACAACAACAAAGAAAAAUAAUAAAGUUUAAGUUUAGGAGUGAGAAUAUGAUCAUCAUGAUCAUCAUAAGAUGUAAAAAAGAAAUGUACUUUCAACAGAUUUAAUGUGUACUGAUUCUUGACAGUGAAGACACUGCCAACAUAUUGAACAGUGUACUAGCUACACACCAUAAGUAAAUGUUAUAUAAAAGGGUCCACACCAAUUCAUGGACAUCCAGAGUCUGAGGUAAAAGUUACAAACAUAUGUUCACUUUCAACGGUCUUCAUGAAUCCUUUCAAACUUGUCAAGUAAUCUGAAGAGAAGUUGCAAAUGUUAGUGGAUGAGUUUGGGAGGGUGUGUCAAGGAAGUUGAAAGUGAACAUAGAUAAGAGUGAGCUGAUGAGGUUAUCAAACAAAUUAGGUAAGGAAAAACUGGAUAUCUGAUUGAAGGGAAGAAGUAUGGAAGAAGUGAAUGUGUUCAGAUAUUUGGGAGUGGACUUGUUGGCAGAUGGGUUUAUGAAGGACGAGGUUAACCAUAGAAUUGAUGAAGGGAAAAAGGUUAGUGGUGCAUUGAGGUAUCUGUGGAGACAGUGUUAUCCAAGGAGGCAAAGAAGGAAAUGUAUGAGAGUACAUUUAGUGGUACCAACAUUUAUAUGGGUGUGAAGUAUGGGUUGUGAAUGUUGCAGCGAGGAGGUUGGAGGCAGUGGAGAUGUUGUGUCUGAAGGCAGUGUGUGUCAUAAAUAUUAUGCAGAGAAUUCAUAGUGUGGAAAUUAGGAGGAGGUGUGAGGUUAAUAAAAGUUUAUCCAGAGGGCUGAGGAGGGGUUAGUAAGUAAGUAAGUAAAUUUAUUCAGGUAUUCACAAAUACAGUUACAUAGAAUUAUCAUACAUAGCAGCAUAUGUGUAGAGAACCUGGGAUAACCCAAAAAAGUCAGACAGAGUGAGGUAGUUUGGUCAUUUAGAGAGGAUGGAGAAAAAUAGCAUACUUGGAGGGUACGUAUAUAAAUCUGUAGUGGACGGAAGGCAGGGUGUGGGUCAUACUAGGAAAAGAUGGAGAGUGGGGUAAAGGUGGUUUUGUGCACAAAGGACUUGGACAUACAGCAGGUAUGUGUGAGCAUGCUAUAUAGGAGUGAAUGGAAACAAAUGGUUUUUGGGACCUGACAAUUUUUUGGAGCAUGAGUAAGGUAACUGGUUAGCCAGGCUUGAGUCCUAGAAGUAGGAAGUACAAUGCCUGCACUCUAAAGGAGGGGUUUGGGAUAUUUGCUGUUUGGAGGGACAUCUAAACUGUCGUAUCUGUGCACCUCUGGCAAGACAGUGAUAGUGUGAAUGGUGGUGAAAAUAUUUCUUUUUUCAGGUCACCCUGCCGUGGUGAGGGACAGCUGGUGUUAAAAAAUUUUAAUUAAUUUUUUUUUUAUAAAAUAGAUGCUCAAUUAUCCCUUUCUGUCUCCAGCAAUCAUGUGUAUCAGAGCUUCCCUGAACCCUUAAUAAAUGUUACCUUGCUCACACUCUGACAGUACGUUAAAUAAUUAAUGGUACUAGCUUCCACUCCAGUCUAAGGUGCUCGACCGAACCCCUAACACUCGAAUCCUCCUUUACCAUCUUUCUCUUUAGCCAUUCCUGGUAUGAUCCUGCCCCUCCACUUUCCACUCCAGAUUUAUAUAUUCUCUUACUCAUCCUAUUCUGCUCCACCCUCUCUAAAUGCCCAAACAGCCUCAACACCAUCUCCUCAGCUCUGUUAUAUUUUUGUUAACCCCUUCCUCACCAUCCAUGCAUUGAUUUUUAUUAAGUAUUAUUUUUUUUUUUCCCAACAAACCAGCCAUAUCCCUCUGAGGCAGGGUGAAGUAAAAGGAAAAAAAAAAUUCUCUUUUUAAAUUUAGUAAUGUAUGCAGGAGAAGUGGUUACUAGCUCCUUGCUCCCAACAUUUUAGUCAUCUCUUACGACACACAUGACUUUAGGAGGAAGAAUUCUGUUCCACUUCUCCAUGGAGAUAAGUAUUAAUUACCAAAAUAAAAGGAGAAAUGUGGAUCAGCUUCACAAAACUGACAGUCAGCAGUCCUUCUGAGUAGUUGCCAAACCUUUCUCAAGUGACACUUAGCCAUCAUUAAAAAUUUGAAGCAGAUUGAACUAGGCUUUCAAAUGUUAUGAACAAAAACAUUGGAGGAUAAAAAUUGACAACCGGAAUAGGUUCUUCAUGUUGUGAUUCUGAAAAAUAAGUGAAUCUAUAUUUAAAUUCUUCAUGUGCCAAGAUGAAAAAUGAAGAUACUUUUUAAGAAAGGCUAAAUAUUUUAGAGAUGUCAUUACUGACUCAAGUGAAAACAAAAAUGUAAUAUACAUACAGAGAAUUCGUAGUUUGGAAGUUAGGAGGAGGUGCGGGAUUACCAAAACUGUUGUCCAGAGGGCUGAGGAAGGGUUGUUGAGGUGGUUCGGACAUGUAGAGAGAAUGGAGCGAAACAGAAUGACUUCAAGAGUGUAUCAGUCUGUAGUGGAAGGAAGGCGGGGUAGGGGUCGGCCUAGGAAGGGUUGGAGGGAGGGGGUAAAGGAGGUUUUGUGUGCGAGGGGCUUGGACUUCCAGCAGGCAUGCGUGAGCGUGUUUGAUAGGAGUGAAUGGAGACAAAUGGUUUUUAAUACUUGACGUGCUGUUGGAGUGUGAGCAAAGUAACAUUUAUGAAGGGAUUCAGGGAAACCGGCAGGCCGGACUUGAGUCCUGGAGAUGGGAAGUACAGUGCCUGCACUCUGAAGGAGGGGUGUUAAUGUUGCAGUUUAAAAACUGUAGUGUAAAGCACCCUUCUGGCAAGACAGUGAUGGAGUGAAUGAUGGUGAAAGUUUUUCUUUUUCGGGCCACCCUGCCUUGGUGGGAAUCGGCCGGUGUGAUAAUAAAAAAUAAAAAAAACAUACAUAAGAUUAUAAAAGUAUCCCAGAGAUUUGACAAGGAAGGUUUUGUAACAUCAUCGAUAUAGAAAAGUGACCUUAGUUACAACUGAGAAGGAACAGUUUGCAAUGUGCAGUUGAGUUCUUCACACACUGCUAUAUCAGAAUUUAUGGAAGAUAAGUUCUUGUUUACAACCACUGAAGUUUCAGUGAAUUAUACUUUAUUAUAUGUUAAAUUGAUGGAACACUUCAAGCUGAGCUCUUCUCCUGUGGCUACAACAGUGCCAGCUAAACACACACACACAGACAAACACACAUGACUUUCAGUACAAACAUUGUUUUUAUUUUGUAAUAUUGUUCACUAGGUGGCCAUCUUUGCAUCAUGCCCUUGAUCAACAUAAAUUCUCAUACUUUAUGAAUAUUAAGAUUUUUUCUGCAUAUGUGUGUAAUAAACAUUUUUCUCAGAUGAAUGAGGCAGUUUUUUCUUUAUAUUGAAUAUAAUUCAUAUUUGUAUUAAUGUACAGUACAACAUUGUAUAAUCCUCCUUGUUUGAGAGGAUUUCUUCUAUAUAGUGACUUGCUGGACAUUAUAUGUGAUGGUUAUUAUAGGUCACGGGAUCGUUGCAGUACCAAGAGGAAAGGGUCUCGGCGUUCGUGCUCGCGUUCUCGCUGCAGGUCGAGAUCCUAUUCAAAAGAUCGAAAGUAUGCAAGAAAGUAAUGGUGGAAGAUAGACUGGAGUGCUGCACAUCAUCAUAGGUGAAUGUUUGCCACUGUUAACACUUUCUCAAUAGCAGUGCAAAUUUGAAGUAAGCUUUCUUUUGUUAUUUUUUUUUUCAUUUAAUACACUGUUUAAAAGAUAAAUAGAAACACAAAUUUUUUAUAAUCUAAGAAUAUUGAAAGAUUAAUUUUUCUUUUAAUAAUGUAGUAGGCGUGUAAUAAACUUUGGUUUAUUGUAAUUUCCUUGCUAGUGUAGCAUUCUCAUUCGUUGAGUCGGUGCAUUGCCUCGUUCAACAACUCGAUAAACAAUCACCUGGACUGAUGUAAAAUUGUCAUGAGGAGCCUGGGAGUAUUAUCCAAGUUUGUUCAUGGUAUUAUGAUCUGAUAUAUAAUAUAAUUUUGUACCUAAAACUUCUUGCAUCUGGCUGAUUAUUUUUGGUUGUUUCUGAGUACAUCUUCUGAUAUAUUGAAAUGAAACAAGUUGAACCUACCAUGGUAUGGGUUGGAUUAGAACCCCUGGCAAGUGAGUUAUAGAACUCCAGAUCAGUGCCAUAAGUUCUAAUCCUAUCCAUACUGUGGUUUAUUUGCAUUCGUGUUGUUAUGAUUUCGUGAAUCAUGUGAAAGUUGUUAAUAUCAAGGCAACCUGCUAGUAAUGUCAAGGCAGCCUGCUAGUAAUAUCAAGGCAGCCUGCUAGUAAUAUCAAGGCAGCCUGCUAGUAAUAUCAAGGCAGCCUGCUAGUAAUAUCAAGGCAGCCUGCUAGUAAUAUCAAGGUAGCAUGCUAGUAAUGUCAAGGCAGCCUGCAAGUAAUGUCAAGGCAGCCUGCUAGUAAUGUCAAGGCAGCCUGCUAGUAAUAUCAAGGCAGCCUGCUAGUAAUAUCAAGGCAGCCUGCUAGUAAUGUCAAGGCAGCCUGCUAGUAAUGUGGUAAUGAAGAACUGCAGAGAAAUUUGUCGUAUAUAAAGGGCAUUCAAGCAGAUAAGCUGUGGUAAAUAUGUUCUGUUCUUCUAACUAUGCAAAUAGUGUACUAAUGAGUGGUCAUCACUGAAUAAUUCUAGAAACUGUGUAAGGAGAACUGUUUGGCUGGUAUUGAUCUUUAGUGUAGUUUUUAAUAAGUGCUGUCAUAAUAGUCUAAGAAUUAGAGGGACAGUUGAUGUAGAGUUGCAGCAGAAUCCAUUACAAAGCUGCUCGCUUUAUAUUUGUCCAUCAGGUAGUGUUAUCAAACAACUAGCAAAUGCUGACUAGGGAAAACUAGUGACUAGUGUUGUCUUCAUGCAUAGGAAUAUUAACUAUCUUACCCUUGUUAAUACUAGACAAGUCAAUAUGGCUCAUGUUUGAUGAAGUAUAAACAGGCAAUAAUUUGCUCUGCUUACAUAAAAUGUCUAUUUAAUAUUUUACAUACAUGUUAGAAAUUAUUUUUAUUACUGUAAUAUCUUUUCUUAAAUUUGUGACUAGUUCCAUUAAUUUUGUGUACUGCCAGUUGAAGAGCAAGAGUUUGUGUCUAGUUAAUAAGACAUAUUUCCUGAGGAUGACCUAACAUUAAUGAAUAACUUCUUGUACACUGUUUACUUCUUCAUUUGUUGUAUAACACCUGACUUCGUAUUUCAAUAUUGAACAUACGCUUAAAAAAAUUGUGAAUUGGAUAAGAUAGUGAAGGUUUCAAGUGUGCUGCCAAUCAUUGUUUGGUUCAUUUAAUUAUAAAAAAUUUGUUGUUAAGCUUGGCAGACCAAAGAUUAUUAAAAGAAAUUUUGAUAAUUUCUUAGUGAGUUGCAGCACUAUUCUACUUUGAACAUUUAUAUUUGAUGUCAGACUAUCAGAAAUCUCUCUCCUGCUCAUUUAAAGUAUCUUACAGUAAUAUAUACAUAGAAAACUUUAUAUUAAUAUAUUCUUGAAAUUUUAUAAGUGUUGAAGUUGCAAUAAUUUUAUCAAAUGCUUCUGUACAUCUGUAAAACAUAUUUAUACUUUGGUUGAUAACUGACUUAGGGAACUAUAUUUAUUUAUGAGGUCUACGUUCAUUUCAUUUACAGAAUACCUGCAAUACUUACAAAUUACAAAAAAAAAGAUUCAGUCUAUGUACAGUGCUCAGAUAUUUUAUGUACUUAUACAUGUAAUAUUGUGCUUCGUGUCAGUAAUUAACUCGGUGAAAACAAUAAAGUUCAUGAUAUUGUAAACAUUAUAAGUUCUCUUAGUAAUAUUGCAAGAUUUGAGUCUGCAACUUGCAAAUACUUGCCUCUACAGUGGUGAAUCUCUUAAAUUCACAUACUUAUUAAAUGUAAUUAACAUCUAAAAUAUGUAAUGCAUUUUUCUCAGUUCAGUAGAUUUAGCAUAAGACUCCUUCACAUGAAAAUGUUGAGGUUAAUUCAGUUACUUGAGUAUUUUUUGAUCAUAUUGUGUUCACUAGUACUCUAGGACAGUUUAGUACUCUGCUACAAGGAUUUUGUUCAAAUGAUGUGGAACUUAGUAUACUUAUUCUUAAAGCAAGUUAGAUAAAAGUAGAGAAAAUCUUGGUAAGCCUCUGUGAUGUCUCCAGGACCUUUAUACUUUACUAAAUGAAUAUAGAAUUGAACUGUAUUGUAGUUGUUGGUACACACAAAUAUCUUGGUGUAGUUAAGGUGAACUUAACAUAUGUGGCCUCUGUUCUUGGUCUGAGUACUUGGCAGGAUGAUAACAUGACUGAGUACUUGGCAGGAUGAUAACAUGACUGAGUACUUGGCAGGAUGAUAACAUGACUGAGUACUUGGCAGGAUGAUAACAUGACUGAGUACUUGGCAGGAUGAUAACAUGACUGAGUACUUGGCAGGAUGAUAACAUGACUGGGUACUUGGCAAGAUGAUCAACACUCAAAUAAAUCUGUAUGCCAAAAGAUGGAUGAAAAGCAACUAUUCCAUUUAAUAAAUAUUAGUAAGUUGAUUAUAAAUUUUACAAGAGUUUUGGUAAAUAAAGCUUAAGAGAAAAUUAGUUGCUGCUUUAAAUAUUAGAAGACAAUAUGUUAGGCCAGCAGUUUCCUUUCAAUAGAUGGUAAUUAAGUAUAUUAAGUUGAUUUUUCUAUUUAAAGACAGACACAUUAAAGAAUACUAUCAAUCAUUGUGAAUGUUUGUAUUGUAUGAUGUUCCUAACUUGCAAAUCUGGAAAUUUCAAACACAAUACAACCUCUUAAACUUAAUUUGUUAAUGUAUAAUAUGUGUUGUAUUAUUUUUAAUGCAAGUGCUGUCCUCUGCAUGAUAGCUGUUGCCAUUGAUGACAAUCAUGAUAAUGAAAACUGGAAGUGAGUCAAUUCUUGCUUAUUAAUAUGCAUUAUUCCCUUAAAUAAAAUGGUGCACUAAAGAAAAAUAAAAGAGCUUGUAAUAGAGACAUUAAGCAAAUUUCUUGAUUUGCUUAGUAUAAAACUUAAGUGUUAGGGAAACAAAAUCAUUUAAUAAUUAUAUCAUUUACCAUAAGAAAUUAAGGUCCUAAUUAAACCAUCAUAGAACAUAGUGUAUAUUUCUGUGCAUAUACAGUGGAACCUCGGUACUUGAACAGCUCAGUACUCGAAUUUGGUAUUCGAAUGCUUUGUUCGGUAAACAAAUUACUCUGUAGUUGACCGUUUGCUUGGCACUCGA